rnacentral:rRNA from 1 species
UUCCGGUUGAUCCUGCCGGAGGUUACUGCUAUCGGGGUCCGAAUAAGCCAUGCGAGUUGAGAGGGGUAAGCCCUCGGCGAACUGCUCAGUAACACGCGGAUAACCUGCCCUUGGGUCCGGGAUAACCCCGGGAAACUGGGACUAAUACCGGAUAGAUCAAAGAAACUGGAAUGUUCUUUGGUCCAAAACUCUGGUGCCCAAGGAUGGGUCUGCGGCCUAUCAGGUAGUAGUGGGUGUAACGUACCUACUAGCCUACGACGGGUAAGGGUUGUGAGAGCAAAGUCCCUGAGAUGGAUUCUGAGACAUGAAUCCAGGCCCUACGGGGUGCAGCAGGCGCGAAAACUUUACACUGCGGGAAACCGCGAUAAGGGGACCCCGAGUGCCAGCACCUAGUGCUGGCUGUCCAGCUGUCCAAAUAACAGUUGUUAGCAAGGGCCGGGCAAGACCGGUGCCAGCCGCCGCGGUAACACCGGCGGCCCGAGUGGUAGCCGUUAUUAUUGGGUUUAAAGGGUCCGUAGCCGGCCUAUUAAGUCUCUUGGGAAAUCUGGCGGCUUAAUCGUCAGGCGGCCAAGAGAUACUGGUAGGCUUGGGACCGGGAGAGGUGGGAGGUACUCCAGGGGUAGGGGUGAAAUCUCGUAAUCCUUGGGGGACCACCGAUGGCGAAGGCAUCCCACCAGAACGGGUCCGACGGUGAGGGACGAAAGCUGGGGGCACGAACCGGAUUAGAUACCCGGGUAGUCCCAGCUGUAAACGAUGCAGACUCGGUGAUGGGUUGGCUUCGAGCCAACCCAGUGCCGCAGGGAAGCCGUUAAGUCUGCCGCCUGGGGAGUACGGUCGCAAGACUGAAACUUAAAGGAAUUGGCGGGGGAGCACCACAAGGGGUGAAGCCUGCGGUUCAAUUGGAGUCAACGCCGGG